UACGAAGGGGGCUAGCGUUGUUCGGAAUCACUGGGCGUAAAGCGCACGCAGGCGGAUCGAUAAGUCGGGGGUGAAAGCCCGGGGCUCAACCUCGGAAUUGCCUUCGAUACUGUCGGUCUCGAGUCCGGGAGAGGUGAGUGGAAUUCCUAGUGUAGAGGUGAAAUUCGUAGAUAUUAGGAAGAACACCAGUGGAGAAGGCGGCUCAAUGGCCCGGUACUGACGAUCAGGUGCGAAAGCGUGGGGAGCAAACAGG
rnacentral:rRNA from 1 species